rnacentral:rRNA from 1 species
AGAAUGAGAGCUUCGGCAGGAAUUUUUCUUAUCUUAGUGGCGGACGGGUGAGUAACGUGUGGGCAACCUGCCCUGCACUGGGGAAUAAUCAUUGGAAACGAUGACUAAUACCGCAUACGGUUCCUGGGAGGCAUCUUCCGGGAAAGAAAGGAUUUAUUCGGUGCAGGAUGGGCCCGCAUCUGAUUAGCUAGUUGGUGAGAUAACAGCCCACCAAGGCGACGAUCAGUAGCCGACCUGAGAGGGUGACCGGCCACAUUGGGACUGAGACACGGCCCAAACUCCUACGGGAGGCAGCAGUGGGGAAUAUUGCACAAUGGGCGAAAGCCUGAUGCAGCAACGCCGCGUGAAGGAAGAAGGGUUUCGGCUCGUAAACUUCUAUCAACAGGGACGAAAGAAAUGACGGUACCUGAAUAAGAAGCCCCGGCUAACUACGUGCCAGCAGCCGCGGUAGUACGUAGGGGGCAAGCGUUAUCCGGAAUUACUGGGUGUAAAGGGUGAGUAGGCGGCAUGGUAAGCCAGAUGUGAAAGCCUUGGGCUUAACCCGAGGAUUGCAUUUGGAACUAUCAAGCUAGAGUACAGGAGAGGAGAGCGGAAUUCCUAGUGUAGCGGUGAAAUGCGUAGAUAUUAGGAAGAACACCAGUGGCGAAGGCGGCUUUCUGGACUGAAACUGACGCUGAGGCACGAAAGCGUGGGGA